rnacentral:rRNA from 1 species
UACGAAGGGGGCUAGCGUUGUUCGGAAUCACUGGGCGUAAAGGGCGCGUAGGCGGCUUUAUAAGUCGGGGGUGAAAGCCUGUGGCUCAACCACAGAAUUGCCUUCGAUACUGUAGAGCUUGAGACCGGAAGAGGUAAGUGGAACUGCGAGUGUAGAGGUGAAAUUCGUAGAUAUUCGCAAGAACACCAGUGGGCGAAGGCGGCUUACUGGUCCGGUUCUGACGCUGAGGCGCGAAAGCGUGGGGAGCAAACAGG